CAAAUAAGUAUUCAAGACGGAACAACAAAAUGGACCAAAGGGACGACAAAAAAGACAUGGUCACUUUAAACUCUAAUAUUUCAAAGGGACUUUCUGGAAAUGGUUUGCCCUCGAAAAAAAGCAAAUCAAAAAGAUCAAAAACGUAUGAAUAUGAUACCCAGAAUAUAAACAUGAAAAAAAGUUUUACCAAAUUUGAUGACCUUCAAAAACGAAAUGUAAUCCAUGUACGUUCAAGAGAUUCUAAAAAAGCACAAGAAAUUUUUCGAUCUACAAUUGCUGAACAGCUUGACAACUGCCGUCAAUGCAAAAAACCGGUAUACAAAAUGGAGGAAGUCAUUCUUCAAUUAAAAACUGGAACGACUAUAUUUCACAAAACGUGCUUGCGUUGCAAGGAAUGCGGUAAACAACUAAAAUCUGAUAGCUAUAACGUUCAUGAUGGAAGUUUAUACUGUUCUGUGCACUUCAAAUUAAUCUUUGCACCGAAGAUAGUUUAUGAAGAAUUUACACCACUAAAGCCAGAGCUUAUUAUACGAGAGAAUCAACCAAUAGAAUUACCACCGGAUGUCGCAAGAGCUUCCGAUAAGCCAAGUCUUGGACUUGACGAGCUUCAACAAUUAAAUGUGCGCUCAAAAUUCAAGGUUUUUGAAAAUGGUUGCAGAGAACAAGUCAAUAACUCACUUGAACGUCAAGAUACUGCUCUUACUCAUAGCAAAUCAAUACGGUCUACGCUAACCAAACUCCAUAAGCUCGGAAUAACUAAUUUAGAACUUGUUGAAUUAGAUGACAUUGACAACAGCGACAUUGAUAAGAUAAAUACCGACGAUGAAAGCGAUAUGGAUUUUUUGUGCUCCAGUAAGGAUAUCAAGAGGGAAAGGCCUGUGGGCUUGGGAGAAGCUAUGAAUGAUAUAAGAUCGAAAUUCGAGCAAGGUGAAGUGAUGACAAAAGAAGAACGUCGCGAAGAAAGGAAACAGGAAAUACAGAGCAUACGUUCUCGACUAUUUCUUGGUAAACAAGCAAAAAUUAAAGAAAUGUAUCAACUAGCUGUGGCUGAAUCAGAACAAAGCGUUACAUCGGUGGGUAAGACCCCCGAUAUUAAUGUCAUAAAGGCCACUCAUCUUAUCAAAGAUCGAUUUGAGAAAGGUGAGGUUUUUAACGAUAAUAAAGUUCAGUCAAAAGAGGCAAUUUUUGGUAUGCAAGCAGAUGCGGAUGUUUUUGAAUCUGGAAUAGGCAAAGCAUCACGAAGUAUCUUCAUGGAGCUAGAUGCCAAUAUAAGUUCCAACUUAAGUAACAGUCCUACCCAAAACAGCCGUCCCGAUAAAAAGGUUGUGAGCUGUAAUCAAUUGUGGCAAGAGAGCACCGGUGUUGACGUUAUCAAAUGCGACUCGAAGCCAGAAGAAGUUAAAGUCGCCACUGAAGAGUUAACAGAAAGGUUUAAAUUCUUCGAAAAAUAUGCACCUCUCGAAAAUAAAAAAAAAAAAUUUCGCAUGACUCCGCCACGUGACGGUGUUGUAAAGAUGCCCUCCCCUGAUUUGGACACGGAGGGUUCGAUUCAAACGCCCUUAUUCAAUGAUAACGUUUUACAAAAAACCAAAACAACGUCAACAAUAUUAAGCAAGUUUCGCGAAAUGGAAGUGCAACAAAUGAAAGAUAAAAACAAGGAACGAAGCCCGAAACCAUUAAAAUGCUUUACUCCACCACCAGAAAUCGGUAACCAUUUUAAUAGAUCAGAUACUGAAGAGGAUAACGAUAGUGACAGCGAGCAGAACACUGAUGACGACGAAAAGAGGUUUGCAAAUGCUCCCCCUAACUUCUGCAACAAUGAUCAAGGGCUUUACGAGGCUCAGAACGCAGCUCGUGCUAAACAAUUGCGAGCGAAGUUUGAAAAGUGGCAAAUUAACGAAAUAGAACGCGAACUCAACGAAGGACGUGUAGACACACAGUCCUCAAAGCUAAUUUCAAAUGAGUCUAUUGAAAGUGCAAAAAAGUAAAAUACGGGAACGGUUUGAAAACAUGAAUAAUUCUGACACUCAACUGGAGAACGCACCAAGAAGUCAAGUCAAACGAUUUGUUUAAAGCAAUAAUCGCCUGAUGGUCUACAACGACAAAGUGUCAUUAUACGCAUAUUUAAAGUAAAUAAAAUAAAGCACACAUCACGGAAUAAGAGGAUCCCCAGAAGCUUCGAAAUAAUAUCUUAUAUUUUAUAUGUCUUAUAUAAAUACAUUUUUGACAUUUUGAAUGUGGCAAAUACAAUAUGAUUAUAAUACUUUA